UACGGAAGGGGCGAGCGUUGUUCGGAAUUAUUGGGCGUAAAGGGCGCGUAGGCGGUUGUGUUUGUCUACUGUGAAAGGCCACGGCUUACCUGUGGAGGUGCGGUAGAAACGGCACAACUUGAGGCUGGGAGGGGUUGGUGGAAUUCCCUGUGUAGCGGUGAAAUGCGUAGAUACGGGGGAGAACACUCGUGGCGAAGGCGGCCAACUGGCCCAGUCCUGACGCUGAGGCGCGACAGCGUGGGGAGCAAACAGG
rnacentral:rRNA from 1 species